GCCGGGUGUGGUGGCGCACACCUAUAAUCCCAGCAGCAUGGGAAGCUGAGGCAGGAGGAUGGCGAAUUCAAAGCCAGCCUCAG
rnacentral:sRNA from 1 species